GGCACUGAUAUUUCCUCUUCCUAUAACCUUGUUUUGUGCUAGUUUCACUUUUAACUUCUUUCUCAAAAAAAACUCCUGUUCCUAAAGGCUAGAAUGGCAUACUCAAAGGUAAUCGUUGCUCUGAUGUUGGCUUUGGUGGUUGGAUCUGCAUUUGCUCAGGCACCAGGAUCAUCUCCGGCAGCUUCUCCGAAGAGUUCUCCACCACCGGUAACAUCGUCACCUCCGGUGGCGACUCCUCCAUCUGCAGUAACACCUGUCUCUGCUCCUGCAAAUGCUCCUACUACUGCUUCUUCUCCAUCUGAAUCUCCAUUGGCAUCUCCUCCAGCUCCACCAACUGUCGAUACUCCGGCAUCAUCUCCUUCCGGUGGUGCUGCUCCUCCAUCCAUCGGUGCGGCUCCCAGCGGUUCUCCUACCUCAUCUCCCAACUCUGCUUCCUUGAACAGAGUCGCCGUCGCCGGAUCUGCUGUUGUAGCUAUUUUUGCUGCUACUUUCAUGCUUUAAUUAUCUGAUCUGUGAGAUAUUUUUUGUUUUAUUUUGCCGGAGCCGUCGACUUUUAUAGGCGGCGGUAGUCGUGGCCGCUGUUGAUUCUUUCUUACUACUACUACUAUUUGUUAUUGAUUAUUACUGGAUUCUUUGUUUAUUUUAUGGAGAGAUGUAUUCAUCAACUAGUUAAUAAUUUGUUCUGUUGAAGAGCAUUCAUAUUUUAUUUAAUUGGAACAUUCCGUUUCUAUAAUUUCAAAAACAAGUUUUACAACUCCGAAAAUAUUACAAUUCCUUUUAAAACUUGGUAUAAAGCAAAGUCAUGUUUACUGCAAAAUCAAAAAGGACAAGACAGUCAACACGCAUAAAAAUUACUUCCUCUGUAGCUAAUUUACGUGUUAUAAUUUGACUUUUAUGCGUUGAGUUUGACCUAUUGGAGAGUAUAUAAAAAAAAAAGACUUUUGGUUUGUAGUCUAAACAUAUCGUAAAUACUUGUGUACAUAUAAAUAAUUUUAUUGAGAAUAAAAUAAAAAGUCUAAAGAUAAAUAUAUAUAAAUACAAAAAUAUAAUUAUUUUUUACGACAAAUUGUACUACAUAAAUUAGGAUGCUGGAAGUAAUAAAGUAGUUGGAGUAACUCAUAUGUGGAAAUAGCUGGACAAAAGAAACCGGGAUACUUAAAGAAAUUCUUAUACAAUAUUUGAAACUUAUCUAUCAAAAUUGUCCUAAUUUUGUAUAUUAACUGUCAUAAACAAGAUUUGUUUACAAUUUAUAUAUACAAUCCUUUAUUAGUGUCUUAAAUUAGGGGAUUAAGUUACACCAUUUUCCUUCUUUUUUUCUCUCCUCUUCUCUUCCUCUAUUCUCUGCAUCUCUCUCCAUGUAUAAUUCAUUAUUAGUGCCUUAAAUUAGGAGAUUUUGUCAUCCGAGUUUAUAAUCCAAAAAUAUUCAGUUGUGAUCACAAGCAAAUUAAAACGAUCCAAUGGUUCUCAAAAGUCACAAACACAAAUUUAAUGGGAUAUAGCGUAGCUUCUUCAAAGCAAAAAUCAUGAAGCCGUUAAUAAUUCUAAUUAGGUCUGAGUCCGACAAUAAAGAACUAACUCAUGCACUGAAAUUGAAUUUUCUUUUUCUGAUAUUAUUAAACUGAUAUUCGGAAGAUUUUAUUUUACAUAGUCACGUUGAUUCCUGCACAAGCAAAAAUGUUUUCUUGUGCUGUCAAUUGUUGACUUGUCUUGCACGAGAACUACAUCAAAUAUUCACAUAAAAGCUUUACAAAUUACCUAACUACUUCCUUUCUCUUUAAGCACACGAGGCCUUCCAAUAAUGUCAAAAUACCUAUACCUUGACUACUCAAUAUUUGUUAAUUCAAGAUAACCUUUGCUAUGUUUUGAAUCCAGUUUGAGUUCAUGAAUUUAUUUCGUAUUAUUCUUUAGACUAAUGAUGUUCAUAUAUAGAGUUUAGAGCAAAGUAAAAAUGUCGAUGGGGAAGAACAAUUAAAUACAUAGUAUACAUCUUAUUUACAACUUAUCUAUAACUUUCAUACAUUAUUUUAACCCAAUUAAAUAAAACUACAACAUCAUACAACUAAUUUAAUAUAAUUUUCAUAUAAAUUUUAUACAAUAUGUCUUUUGUACGUAUUUUUUUAUAUGAUUUGUAUAUAUUUUGUAUGUGGUGUGUUCUUCUUCUUCUUCUCUAAAAUUCUAAUUAAAUAUAAUUUAUAUACAACCAUAAUAUAAUUUUAAUACAAUGGCCGAAAUAUGAGAUUUUAGGCAAUGCUAUGAUACAUGUUGCUUCCAAGAGCUGAAAUCAACUGGUGCCUCUUAUGCCUGGAACAACAAGGAAAGUGGAGAAGAUAAAGUACUUAGCAAAAUAGACAGAGUAUUGGUAAACAUGGAUUAGUUAUCACAGUUGCCACAUUCUAUGGUUCACUAUAUGAUUGAGGGAUGUUUGACCAUAGCCCAGCUAUGAUUAAUUGAGAGAAUGGAAACCAGAUGAUUACUAGACCAUUCAAGUACUUUAACAAGUGGAGUAUGAAUCCUGAAUUCAAGAAAAAAAUGGGGGAUAGCUGGAUUACUGAAAUUAGAGGAACCAAAAUGUGUCAGCUAGUGAAAAAACUAAACAGGCUGAAGAAAGUACUCAAACGGCUGAACAGAACUAAAUUUAGCAACAUAGAAUUGAAAGCAGAACAAGCUAAGGAAGAGCAAGAGGAGUGUCAGAAGCAUAUUCAACAAAAUUCCAUCAAUAAUAGUCUCAUUAACAAGGAGCAGGAAUUGGCAAAUAAGUAUAAUAGAUUAAAGAAAGCAAGUGACCAGUUCUUAAGGCAAAAAAGCAAAGUACAGUGGCUGAAACAAGGGGAUCAGAAUUAACAACAGAUACUUUCAUAGUUAUAUGAAGGCUAGAAGGAUUGCCAACAGAAUCUUCUCAAUAAAGGACUCUAAUAGCAGCAUGGUUACCAAUAUGGAAGGGGAUAACAAGGGCAUUGUGGACUUUUAUACAGAGUUGUUAGGGUCCACUAAAGAAGAUAGAACACAUGUAUGCAACAAUCUGGUGAGAAAAGGCCCAAUAGUGACAGAGGAACAUGUUAAUUGAAGAAUUCACUGAGAACGAGGUCAAACAAGCAUUAUGAAAAAUUGAUGGAGAAAAAUCUCUAGGUCCCGAUGGAUAUGGUAAUAAAUUCUUUAAAGAUACUUGGAACAUAAUCAAUAAAGACCUUAAGGAAGGAGUACUAUAGUUUUUACAUCAGGGAAGAUGCUAAAGGUAAUCAACAAUACAGUAAUCAUAGUAAUUCCUAAGAGCAGCCAUGCAGAAGUAGUUGGGGUCUAUAGACCCAUUGCUUGCUGCAAUAUAGUAUAUAAGAUCAUAUCCAAAAUGCUUUGUAAUAGGGUUAAAACUAUCCUGCCAAACAUUAUUUCUGAAAAUCAGAGUGCCUUUGUAACUAGUAGAAUAAUCAUGCAGAACAUAUUGAUUUGCCAAGACCUAGUCAUGUUAUAUAAUAGGAAAGCAGCAACCAAGAGCUGCUUGAUUAAAAUAGAUCUUAAGAAGGACUAUGACUCCAUAGAAUGACACUUUGUGGAAGAAAUAUUACAUGCACUCAAUUUCCCUAUGAAGUUCAUAAGGUGGGUUAUCAAAUGCAUAUCAACUCCUCGUAAUAAUGUGGCCAUAAAUGGAGGGUUAUAUGGGAACAUAAAAGGGAAGAGAGGCCUAAGGCAAGGGGACCCCAUAUCUCCUCUACUGUUUGUAAUAUGUAUGGAAUAUUUAACUAGAAUAUUGAAGCUAGAGUCACAACAAGAGUGCUUUGGUUAUCAUUCCAAAUGUAGAAGUUUGCAGCUCAAUCAUCUAUGUUUUGCAGAUGAUGUGCUCCUUUUUUGCAAAGGAGAGUUCCACUCUGUGAUACUGAUGCUGAGAGGCCUUUAGAUAUUCUCUAGCUCUUCAGGGCUAACAAACAAUGCAGGCAAGUCUAACAUAUUUGCUGUGAAUAUGGAGAUACAAGAGAUAGAGGAUUCGUGUGAAGUAACAAGAUACAGUAGAGGCAGACUCCCCUUCAAGUACUUAGGUGUUCCAAUAUCAUCUAAGAAACUAUCGAAAAUGGACUGUCAAGUGCUACUAGACAAGCUAACUACCAGAAUAAGGAGUUGGGUUCAAAGAACUUAUCCUAUGUUGGGAGAGUGCAAAUGAUCAAUGCAGUGCUAAUGCAUAUACACACAUAUUGGGCAUCGAUUUUCGUACUCCCCAAAGCAGUACUCAAAAGUAUUAUAGCAAUUUGUCGCAAUUAUCUCUGGGAUAGUAAGGUGGAAACAACUAGGGUACCACUAGUAGCAUGGGACCUCAUUUGUCGACCAAAAUAAGAGGGAGAGAUUGAGAUAAAGGAUUGUGUGGUAUGGAAUGAGGCAUCCAUAGGGAAGUAUGUAUGAGACAUAACUCAAAAUACUGACUUUUUGUGGGUCAAAUGGAUCAACCAUAUCUACCUAAAAAAUAUAAAUUGGUGGCAAUACAAUAUACCAUAAGACAACAGUUGGUAUUGGAAGAAAAUAUGCCACAUAAGAGACAAACUUGCAGGUGGUUAUGUUCAUGAAGGAUGUCAAUCACAAGCAAGGAAAUAUACAAUCCAAAAAGGCUACUCCUGAUUGAAGGGGAACCUGGACACAUGCCAAUGGGGAAGACGGGUCUGAAACAAGCAAAACAUUCCAAAACACAACUUUAUUUGCUGGUUGACUAUGCAGAAGAAGUUGCUCACAAAGGAUAGGCUAGUUCUCAGAGGAAUUAGCUCAGAUGGCCUAUGUGUACUAUGUGAAAAUGUACCAAAAUCUAUUAAACACUUAUUCUAUGAGUGUCACUUCUCCAAGUUAUGCACCACUGAAGUACUUCAGUGGCUAAAGAUAAGGAUCACAAAUUUUGAAGGACAACACCUAUGGAAAAGAGUAGCCAGGAAAAUGGGAAGCAAAUUGAGCAGGGAGUUCUCAUGUGUAGUAUUGGCAGCAAUGAAUUAUCACAUCUGGAAGGGGAGGAAUGAAGCCCUGUGGCAGAGUUUAGUUCCUAGACCACAUAGAGUAUGUGACCAAAUUAAAAAAGAAUGCAGAGUUCGAGUGUUGGAGAUACUCAACAAACGGAAAAAGGGACUAGGAUAGGAGAUGGCUGGAAGAAGUAUAUAGAUAGAUAGUAGAUAUGCAGGACCAAUACUUGUACAUAUCUGUCAUGUCAUCUUCUUCUUCUUCUUCUUCUUCUUCUUCUUCUUCUUCUUCGAGUUUUAAUUUGAAAUUUAGCCAAAAUCAAGUCUAAUAUUCACCAAACACCCUCAAAAUUGAUAUAUAAACUUCAAAGAAUAUUUUUAAUUGUUUACAACAACACCCAAUCCAAACAAACAAUAGUUUUUGAAUACCCAAAUUCGAAUUCAAAGCUUCGGAGUUUUUUAAUGGUUGUCAAUGGUGGAGAAUCAAAUACCUUCAAAGUUUAUUGAUUGACAAUCUCAAUUCAAACACCAAUUGUGCAACAUGGAAGAGAAUUGCUAAGUUAAAACUCCAUUGAUGAAUUUUUUUUUAAAAAAAAAGGAUAAAAAGAAGAGAAAAACGAAGGAAGAAAACUAGAGAAAGAACAGAAAAGGAGAGAGAGAGAGAGAAAGAGAGAGGGAGUGAGAGAGAAAGUAGGGAUAUAGAUUCUCUAUUCAAUUUCUAAUAUAAAGGGAUACUCAUUGAUAUUAAUUUAUAUAUAAUUGGUAAAUUAUAUAUACACAUGUAAUUAAGUUAAAACUUGAUUAGGAAGAGUAAUAAAGUUUCAUAUGUAAUAUAGGAAGGUAAAAACCCAUACUAACUGAUAUUUGAAAAUUGCAAAAUUCGCCACUUGCGAGCAGCAUGACCAGGAGCUCACGAAGCUCCCUAAAUGCGAAUUCAGUAUUUGAAAUUUAUAGAUUCUGAAGUUUAUUAUAUAUGCAUGUUCAAUAAAUUUCUAAACAAAUAUAUAGCGUUCAAAUCAAAUUUCUAGGUUGUGCCGAGCCCGUAUGUUCCGUGUUAGCUCUAUGCCGGGAAGCUCAUGUCUCUAUACAGUACUCCUCCCUACUAACGAGACUAAAACGUGCCAAUCAUAACGGUAACCAUAAUGUUUGCUAAAUUGUGCUAGUAAUAAUACAAUGAUCCAACAGUCAUUUCAUAGGUUGUUUUUGAUAAAUUUUUCGCAAAAUAUUUUGAAAAAAGCUUCUUCGAAUUCUUUAUAAGAAAUUCCCUCAAAUCAAAAAAAAAAAAAAACAAAGAAAAAUUCAAACAAAAGUUUUCCAGAGAAAUUUAGUUCUUCACACGGAAAGAAAAAUGUUUACCAGCUUGGACUGAGUCACAUCCCCCUCUCUUUCUUCUGUCGUUGAGUUGUCCACUAAUUACGUAGCUUAUUUUAAAUCAAAUUUCCCAAACUAACUCAGUAAUAAAAUUAGAAAUUUCCCUCCUAUAUAUACACUCUUUUCCUAUCCUUUCUUCCAAACGGUACUCAACAACACUCAUAUUUUCUCUUCCUUUUGUGCAUAUAUAUUCCACUUUUCUUAUUUCUUCAAAGUUUUCUCGUCCUAAAGGUUAGAAUGGCAUACUCAAAAGUGAUCAUUGCUUUAAUGUUCGCAUUAGUAGCUGGAUCUGCUUUCUCUCAGGCACCAGGAGCAUCUCCAGCAGCUUCUCCGAAGAGUUCUCCACCGCCGGCGGCGACUCCUCCUCCUCCUACAUCAACACCUGUCUCCGCUCCUACUACUGCAUCUUCUCCAUCAGAAUCUCCACCAACUGUAGAUACUCCGGCAUCAUCUCCUUCUGGCGCUUCUCCUCCAUCUAUCGCCGCCGCUCCCGGUGGUUCUCCUACUUCCUCUCCUAACUCUGCUUCCUUGAACAGAGUCGCCGUUGCAGCAUCUGCUGUUGUAGCUGUCUUUGCUGCUUCUUUGAUUCUUUAAAUCUCUGAUUUGUGAGAUAUUUUGUGUUUUCAUUCGCCGGAGUUGAUGAGUUAGGAUUUAUUUAUAGCUUAUUUUCACUGUUUUUUUUUCUUUUUCUUUUGGACUUUUACGGGCGCCGGUAGUCGUGACCGCUGUUGAUAUAGUGAAUAUUUGUUUAUUUUUCGUUUUGUAAAUUAGUUGAGAAUUUUCAAAUUUAUGGUGCUUCUCAAUUCCUACGUACAUUAUGAUAUAGGAGCCCGUAAUCCACUUACUUCACUUAAAAUAAUAGUAUCUUGUAAGUACACAAAAUUACAAAAAUGAUAAAAGUAGAAAGAAAGAACGUGGCAAAACAAAGCAAAAAAUAAAGAAAGAAAAAAGGAAAUUCAAGUGGACCAAUUUUUUUCUUUGGCCAGGCAAGGAGUGCAAUUGAAGUAUGCAUGCAGGUUGAGCAAUUCUUUUUUCCUUUUUCUUUUGGAAAAUUUUCGGGGAAACUCGAUGUCUUUAUUAUUCAGGUGCGCAUUAGUAAUCUGUUUACUGUGUAAUAGCUAUCGCAAAUCAUACUGGAGAGUAAAACCGCACUAGACAAGCUCGAUGCGUAGAGAUCUGACUAAAGAGGUUAUUGAUAAGGGGAAUCAAUCCUAAAUCUUCCAUGUGAGAACCUAACCCUUGCAAGCUGGUUGAGGAAUUUUGCUAUUGAAUUUUUUCGAGUUUCCUUACCCUUAAAGAUCUGAAUCUUGUAUUGCAAUCUUCAAUCACUCUGGCAAAUGGCAAUUCACAAAGACACAUCUCUAUUGCUUCCAAGCCAUUCCCGGGUUCACUACAUUAGGGUAGUUAGUAAAUUAAAUAUUAAGUUUCUGAGACUGCCAAGGCACACAGGGGNNNNNNNNNNNNNNNNNNNNNNNNNAUAUAUAUAAAAUUAAUUACCAUGGUAGAGUAUUCAAUUGAACUCUUUCAUUAAAGGUAGUUACGCAUCUGAUUGAGUUCCUAAUCUCCUUUAUCCUUAUUUAGUUGCAACAUUUUCAAAUUUUAAAAAAUUAAAAGAAAUAUUCCUUGCAUAACAAAAUAAAUAUUUUUCAAAAGGCUGGCAAUCAAGAUUACAAUUUACAAUCUAUUUUUUCCUAUUUAAUAGAGUUCAACAGUUGAAAAGUUUUACAAAUUACAUGUAUAUCUAAUUUGGAAAAGCAAAGCUCUAAUGACCCCACAAGCACAAGAAUUCUCAAGAGCCUCACCAACUCUCUCCCCUUCUUCUAAUUCAAGAACUUAAAUUACAUUUUAGAAAAGGUUACCCCGAUAAUUAAAUUCAAUAAACAACAAGAAUUUAUACAGCACAUGAAUCCAUGUUCUGUAGUUUCCCGUUGGAGGUCAUCAUUUGUGAGAGAAAGAGUAGAAGGCAAGAUUGUCGAGAAAGAGUCUUGCUUUCUAUGUCCAUACGCAAAAAAUAGAUUUUACUUGGUAAUUAUAUACAUAAAAUAUUAAAUUAAUAAGUGCAUGAUAUGUAUUUAUAUAUAAAAUUUUAAUUGCUUAUGCGUGAUUAAGUAAAGUAUAUUUUCAUCUCUUUUUUUUGCUAAUUAUUAUAAAUUUAUAUACUAAUUUAAAAUAAACGUUAGAUGCAAAUGAGUACUUUCCAACCUCUUAACACCCAGCCCCUGCUUCUUAGGUGGCCAAAACAGAAACGAAUUUUAUAAUCCAGCUAGCUAGACCAGAACGUGCCAAUUAUAACGGUAACCAUAAUGUUUGCUAAUAAUAAUUUUAUAUAUAAAGAGAGAACAGUCAUUAAAAUGCUCGGAAAAAAAAAAAAUCAGUCCUUAGCUUAUUUUAGGAAAAGUAUUUUAAAGAAUUUUUUUUUGUAAUUUUUAUGACGAAUUAUUUCAAAUAAAAAAUGCACAAAGAAACACAGUCAAAACAAAACAUAAUUCUAGAAAUUUAUCUCUUGACGCGGAAAGAAAAAUGUAACCAGGUGGACUCAAUCACCGUCCCGUCCUUCUUCGGUUGUUGAGUUGUCAACAAAUUAUUAGUCCACUAUUUUAUUCAACUUUUCUAAACCGACUUACUAACAUAAAAUUUUAAAAUUUCCGCAUAUUUUCCUCCUAUAUAUACACUGCUUUUCCUUGUCAAUUCCUCCAAACCGAACUCAACACUUUCAUAUUUUCUCUUCCUAUACCUGUUUGUGCUUGUUCCUCUUUUCUUCUUCCAAAAAGCUCCUUAUUCUAAAGGCUAGAAUGGCGUACUCAAAGAUGAUCAUUGCUUUAAUGUUGGCCUUAGUGGCUGGAUCUGCUUUUGCUCAGGCACCGGGAUCAUCUCCGGCAGCUUCUCCGAAGAGUUCUCCGCCACCAGUAUCAUCACCUCCGGCGGCGACUCCUCAACCUUCUAC
rnacentral:lncRNA from 1 species